UACGGGGGGGGCAAGCGUUGUUCGGAAUUACUGGGCGUAAAGGGCUCGUAGGCGGCCAACUAAGUCAGACGUGAAAUCCCUCGGCUUAACCGGGGGAACUGCGUCUGAUACUGGAUGGCUUGAGUUCGGGAGAGGGAUGCGGAAUUCCAGGUGUAGCGGUGAAAUGCGUAGAGAUCAGGCGGAACACCCGUGGCGAAGGCGGAGUCCCUGGGACGCGAUACCUGACACUGAGGCAAGCG
rnacentral:rRNA from 1 species